rnacentral:rRNA from 1 species
GAACGAGAAAGUGGAGCAAUCCAUGAGUAAAGUGGCGACCGGGUGAGUAACACGUGACUAACCUACCUCCGAAUGGGGAAUAACUCCGGGAAACCGGGGCUAAUACCGCAUAACACCGCAAGGUCAAAGCAGCAAUGCGUUUGGAGAGGGGGUCGCGGCUGAUUAGCUAGUUGGCGGGGUAACGGCCCACCAAGGCGAAGAUCGGUAUCCGGCCUGAGAGGGCGCACGGACACACUGGAACUGAAACACGGUCCAGACUCCUACGGGAGGCAGCAGUGGGGAAUUUUGCGCAAUGGGGGAAACCCUGACGCAGCAACGCCGCGUGGAGGAUGAAGCCCUUUGGGGCGUAAACUCCUUUCGACUCGGACGAUAAUGACGGUACGAGUGGAAGAAGCACCGGCUAACUCUGUG